rnacentral:rRNA from 1 species
AACGAACGCUGGCGGCGUGCCUAACACGUGCAAGUCGAACGAGAAUUUCGGGGCAACUCGAAUAGUAAAGUGGCGCACGGGUGAGUAACACGUAGGUGACCUACCUCUUGCUGGGGAAUAACCUCGGGAAACCGAAGCUAAUUCCGCAUACGCCAACUAGAUUGCGGUCUAGUUGGGAAAGGUGGCCUCUUCAUGAAAGCUAUCGGCAAAAGAUGGGCCUGCGUACCAUUAGCUAGUUGGUAGGGUAAUGGCCUACCAAGGCUAUGAUGGUUAGCUGGUCUGAGAGGAUGAUCAGCCACACUGGAACUGAGACACGGUCCAGACUCCUACGGGAGGCAGCAGUGGGGAAUAUUGCGCAAUGGGCGAAAGCCUGACGCAGCAACGCCGCGUGAGUGAUGAAGGCCUUCGGGUCGUAAAGCUCUGUCAGAAGGAACGAAUACUCCUAUGGAGUAAUACCCAUGGGAUUUGACGGUACCUUCAGAGGAAGCACUGGCUAACUCCGUGCCAGCAGCCGCCGCAG